rnacentral:lncRNA from 1 species
GGCAAUUCCAGGAAGAUAUGAGGAAAAUCAAGAAAGAGAAGGAAACUGAAGCUAGUGGGAAGUGCUUCAAGUUGGAGAUGAUGCUGAGAUGGCCAAAAAGUGAGAGGUGGAAAACAUUUGGAGUGAGUUAAGGAGAGAACGCGAGGCAAGGAAGUGAAGCUGAGCAGCCAAGCACAGAGAUCCUUGAGAGAUGACGAAAAAACAAGAUGAGUCCUGUAACAGCUCAGCUUAUUGUUUUGAGGACAUUUUCAGGUGUAGCACAGGGAGGAGAAGCUCAGAAGACUCUCUGAGUUAAGGAGAUUGAACAAAGAAUCAAGGAGGACUAAAGCAUCUGGAGUACAGAGUACCAGAGUAUAUAAAGAUAUGACAUGAGAGAACCCUGAAGAUUUAUAGAAGGGUCCCCUUAAUUAUUCAACAAAAUAUAUACAGAUCAACACAGAUGUAUGAGGAAACUACUUGGAGCUAGGAAAAGAGCCAUUUGAAAAGAUUAGAGGAAAUGGUACUGAAUGCUCAUACAGGACUGGGGACUUUGACUGUUUCAAUAAACCAUGCUAGAGAACUCAA